CCCAGAUUACAGGAGGUCGCCGUCGGAUCAGGCGCGCGGAUGAAACAGACUCGGCGGGCGGUCGGAAGAUCGCCUUUGGAUCUCCUAAAUAACGCAAACAUCCUGCGAUGCCAUCGGGAGGAAACAUUUCCAUCCACAUUCCUGGAAUUACAGGCCAGAAAAAAUAAGUAACUGCACUUCUACUCAAGUAUGUGUGAGUACUUUUUCCACCCCUGCUGAGUCAUGAACAGUUGUUAAAUACAGUACGUACAUCUAUCUAAUGCUGUGGUGUGCAAACUAUGGCCCCGGGCCAUUUGUGGCUUGCUGAUUAUUUUUUGGAGACCAGCAACAGAGAUGUUCACGGUGGAUCAGCUGGAACACUGCAUACAUACAUUAAUUGGACACUCUAAAUUGCCCAUAGGUGUGAUUGUGAGUGCGGCUGUUUGUCUCGAUGUGCCCUGCGAUCGGGUGGCAACCAGUUCAGGGUGUGCCGCACCUCCUGCCCGUUGACAGCUGGGAUAGGCUACGGCACUCCCCGCGACCCUUGUGAGGAUAAGCGGCUAAGAAAAUGGAUGGAUGUUCGAUACCAGAUUUUUUCAGGCAGAUACCAGAAUGAGUAUUCACUCUUGAGUACUCACGGAAGUAAAGUAUUACGAGUCCAUCCAUGAAAUUUCAACAAACACAAAGAUAGAUGUCGACUUGUCGCAGUCACUAAUGUGUCAAACUGCUCCAAUAUAGCGCCAACUACUGGCGAGGUGGACAUAACGGCAGAUUUUUUUUUUCCCCUUAGUAUUGGUGGCUGGUAUCGGAAAUGUUCACGAGUACCCGAUACCUUGAAAUAAGCCAGUAUUGGACGAAUUGCCCAUCCUUAAUUUCAAUAUUUUAUAAUAUCCAUCCAUUCAUUUUUUUUGCCGCUUAUCCUCACGAGGGUCGCAGGGGGUACCGGAGGCUAUCCUAGCUGUCGACGGGCAUGAGGCGGGGUACACCCUGAACUGGUCGCCAUGUAAAAUGCAUUUCUACUUACGAAAAAUUCAUGUUACAAUGUGACUUCUGGAACGGAUUAAUAUUGUAAGUAGAGGUACCGUUGUAUUAGCAAGUUUUACGAUCCAUCCAUCCAUUUUCUGAGCCGCUUAACCUCACAAGGGUUGUGGGAGUGCUGGAGGCAAUCCCUGCUGUCUUUGGGCAGCCAGCCAAUCGCAGGGCACAUGGAGACAGACAACAGUCGCACUCACAAUCACACCUAUGGGCAAUUUAGUCUCCAAUUAAUGUUGCAUGUUUUGGGGAUGUGGGAGGAAACCGCAGCGCCCGGAGAAAACGGGGAGAACAUGCAAACUCCACAACGGCGGGGGCCGGGAUCGAACUUUACCAGCUGCUGCCUAUUUUAUAAUAGUGGGGUUAUUAUGAAUAAAGUGGUUAAAAAAAAUUGUUUGUUGAGGAGGUGGAAUAAAUGGAAGUUCCAAUAAUUUCAAUAGGGACAGUUGGUUAGUGAUGAGUUGUAAGAGUGGUAAGCAGGAUUAAUGAAUACACACCACUGUAACUUUUUAAAUUGGAGGAGGAUUGUUUUACUAUGUUAACUCCAUAAAAUAAAACAAAUGUUCAAGUGG